rnacentral:rRNA from 1 species
AGUUUGGUGCCAGUAGUUGUGGUAAUUCCAGCUCCAAUAGCGUAUAUUAAAGUUGUUGCAGUUAAAAAGCUCGUAGUUGAACUUCAGACCUGACCGGGCGGUCCGCCUAACGGUGUGUACUGUCUGGCCGGGCCUUACCUCUUGGUGAGCCGGCAUGCCCUUUACUGGGUGUGUCGGGGAAUCAGGACCUUUACCUUGAGAAAAUUAGGGUGUUCAAAGCAGGCUUACGCCGGAAUACAUUAGCAUGGAAUAAUAAAAUAGGACGUGCGGUUCUAUUUUGUUGGUUUCUAGAGUCGCCGUAAUGAUUAAUAGGGAUUGUUGGGGGCAUUUGUAUUGCGUUGCUAGAGGUGAAAUUCUUGGAUUUACGCAAGACAAACUAUUGCGAAAGCAUUUGCCAAGGAUGUUUUCAUUAAUCAAGAACGAAGGUUAGGGGAUCGAAAACGAUCAGAUACCGUUGUAGUCUUAACAGUAAACUAUGCCGACUAGGGAUCGGACGACCUCAAUAUUAUGCGUCGUUCGGCACCUUAUGAGAAAUCAAAGUCUUAGGGUUCUGGGGGGAGUAUGGUCGCAAGGCUGAAAUUUAAAGGAAUUGACGGAAGGGCACCACCAGGAGUGGAGCCUGCGGCUUAAUUUGAUUUAAUAUGGGGAAAUUUAUUAGGUCCAGACAUAACUAGGAUUGAUAGAUUGAUAGUUUUUUUUUGAUUUUAUGGGUGGUGGUGCAUGGCCGUUCUUAGUUGGUGGAGUGAUUUGUCUGGUUAAUUCCGAUAACGAACGAGACCUUAACCUGCUAAAUAGCCUGGCCGGCUUUUGCUGGUCACUGGCUUCUUAGAGGGACUGUCAGCGUUUAGCUGACGGAAGUUUGAGGCAAUAACAGGUCUGUGAUGCCCUUAGAUGUUCUGGGCCGCACGCGCGCUACACUGACAGAGCCAGCGAGUUUUUUUUCCUUGGCCGGAAGGUCAUGGGUAAUCUUGUGAAACUCUGUCGUGCUGGGGAUAGAGCAUUGUAAUUAUUGCUCUUCAGCGAGGAAUUCCUAGUAAGCGUGAGUCAUUAGCUCGCGUUGAUUACGUCCCUGCCCUUUGUACACACCGCCCGUCGCUACUACCGAUUGAAAUGGCUUAGUGAGACCUCCGGAUUGGCUUUGGGGAGUCGGUAACGACACCCCGUUGCUGAAAAGUUGGUCAAACUUGGUCAUUUAGAGGAAGUAAAAGUCGUAACAAGGUUUCCGUAGGUGAACCUGCGGAAG